UUAGAGUUUGAUCCUGGCUCAGGAUAAACGCUGGCGGCYUKCCUAAUACAUGCAAGUCGAUCGAUAGAAGUCCAGCUUGCUGGACGGAAAUAGAGGCGAACGGGUGAGUAAUACGUAAGCAACCUGCCCACGAAGACCGGGAUAAUCCCUGGAAACGGGGACUAAGACCGGAUAGGUACACAGACCGCAUGAUCUGUGUAUUAAAGGUGAGAGACACUGGUGGAUGGGCUUACGGUGCAUUAGCUGGAUGGUGAGGUAACGGCCCACCAUGGCGAUGAUGCAUAGCCGGGCUGAGAGGCUGAACGGCCACAUUGGGACUGAGACACGGCCCAGACUCCUACGGGAGGCAGCAGUAGGGAAUUUUCGGCAAUGGGGGCAACCCUGACCGAGCAACGCCGCGUGAGUGAUGAAGGUCUUCGGAUUGUAAAGCUCUGUUGUAAGGGAAGAACGGCAUCUAGAGAAUAGAUGAGUGACGGUACCUUACCAGAAAGCUACGGCUAACUACGUGCCAGCAGCCGCGGUGAUAC
rnacentral:rRNA from 1 species